GUAAUACUCCCUCUGUCCGGAAAUACUUGUCGGAAAAAAUGAUGUAUCUAGACGCAUUUUAGUUCUAAAUACAUCCCUUUUUAUUCAUUUUCGUGACAAGUAUUUGCGGACGGAGGAAGUACUUG
rfam:Hordeum vulgare subsp. vulgare, WGS project CAJW01000000 data, contig: morex_contig_2550033